UACGAAGGGGGCUAGCGUUGUUCGGAAUCACUGGGCGUAAAGCGCACGCAGGCGGAUCGUUAAGUCAGGGGUGAAAUCCCGAGGCUCAACCUCGGAACUGCCUUUGAUACUGGCGAUCUUUGAGUCCGGGAGAGGUGAGUGGAACUCCGAGUGUAGAGGUGAAAUUCGUAGAUAUCAGGAGGAACACCGGUGGCGAAGGCGGCCCUCUGGACGGAUACUGACGCUGAGACGCGAAAGCGUGGGGAGCAAACAGG
rnacentral:rRNA from 1 species